AAUCCUCAUAAUGGGGGCAAUUUAAGUCCUAAAUUUGCUUUUUCCAAUGAAACUAGCUAUGCCAAUCAGAUUGGUUUGUAUUUGUUCUACUUUCUUUCACUUGUACAAUGUCAUCAACCGAUUUUCUAUACAAUUUGGUUCUAAUCGAAUACUACUUUUUCAACUUCUGUACUUUUAUACUUCUGUACUUUUCUUCCUCUCUCUCUCUUCCACUAUUAUUCAUAUUUUUCCUUCACUCUCACACUUUUUAAUUUCUCAGAUCCCACAUUCUUCUUCUUCUUCUUUUCUUCUAACCUUUUUUUCUUUUAACACAAAAGUAAACAUGAUUUUCUAUGUAAAUCAUUUCUCUUACAUGAUCCUCUCUUUUGUUUUUUUACAAAAGAAACCGUUUUUAUUCUUUUUAUUUAUGUAAAUCAUCUCCCUUACAAACAAAAAUCACAAUCAUAGAUCAAACUGAAAUCAAGAAGGAGAAAAGUGGCACCAAUCGGAAUAAUGGAGACAGCAGUAGCUAAGGCGUUUUCGACGGAUUUACAACAAUGUGUGGUGUCGCUGUGGUAGAUCUAUGGUGGCCGCAACGCGUUUCCGACGACGAGUGUGGUGUUGGUCGGAUUCAAAAUGGUUGUUGUGUUUUACCAACGAUUCGGCCAUAGCCAUGCUCUGACUGAAAUGGUGGUGAUGCAGAUAGUUUUUUUUGGAGGUUACUGUUUAUCUUCAACUUUAUAUGUGAAUCAGAUUUACCCUAUCCGUCGUAAGAACUAAGAAUCAGAGAAGCAUCAUAAAAUCAUCAUGUUUCCUGAAUAUGAAGAAGUUCUUCCUCAUUCAACAUGAUUCUAUGAUUAUCAAGGUAUCUUCUUCCCCAUUUUAUUUUUCAGGAUAUUUCUUUUUCGAUGUGUUUAAUAAUUUUUAUGCAUUCCAAUAUGUUAUUAUUUCGAUGUGUUGAAUAUUUUGGAUGUCUUAAAUAUUCAAUGUAUGACUGUGUUACUGAAAGAGCAUUCAAGAAUACAAAGGUUCCCGUGAAACUGACGGUAUCGUUGAAUACUUGAAGAAACAAAAUGGGCUUGCAUCAACCGAAAUUAAAUCUGCUGAUGAAGUCGGUGCAUUUAUUGGUGAAAAUAAAAUUAUUAUUGUAAUUAUCCUACAUUUGUGCGUUUGGUUUAUUUUUAUUUAGUCACACACACUCAUGAUGCAACAUUUUGUCAACUUCACUUUCGAGGGUACCGAAGCUUUUAAAUCAAAAUAAAGUGAAAAUUCUGAAAUUGUCAAUGCAACAUCGCAGCUUAUCAGCAAAA